GACGAACGCUGGCGGCGUGCCUAAUACAUGCAAGUAGAACGCUGAAGGAGGAGCUUGCUUCUCUGGAUGAGUUGCGAACGGGUGAGUAACGCGUAGGUAACCUGCCUGGUAGCGGGGGAUAACUAUUGGAAACGAUAGCUAAUACCGCAUAACAGUAGAUAUCGCAUGAUAUCUACUUGAAAGGUGCAAUUGCAUCACUACCAGAUGGACCUGCGUUGUAUUAGCUAGUUGGUGAGGUAACGGCUCACCAAGGCGACGAUACAUAGCCGACCUGAGAGGGUGAUCGGCCACACUGGGACUGAGACACGGCCCAGAGUCCUACGGGAGGCAGCAGUAGGGAAUCUUCGGCAAUGGACGGAAGUCUGACCGAGCAACGCCGCGUGAGUGAAGAAGGUUUUCGGAUCGUAAAGCUCUGUUGUAAGAGAAGAACGAGUGUGAGAGUGGAAAGUUCACACUGUGACGGUAUCUUACCAGAAAGGGACGGCUAACUACGUG
rnacentral:rRNA from 1 species